AAUUAAAUCUACACUAUAGGUGCCCCUUUGGGGAGAAUAGGGAAUGAAGUGAAAUGCUUCAGCGGUCCCACCACUGUAAAGAGGAGUUUUGCACAUUUAACCACUGGUUUUCCGGGAAGGGGUGUAAAACGUUGAAUCUGAGCCAGGAGACCUGCCUAUAGAAAUCUAGCGUC
rnacentral:ncRNA from 1 species